CCCGCCGCCCUCCCCCCGCGGGGCCCGGGGCCAGCGCCCGCCCCCCGCGCCCGCCGCCGCCGCUGCAGGGAGUGGAAAUUUCCACGGCGCCCGCCCGCCCCCCGCGCUCCCCCCUCGCGCAGCCCCGAGCCCGCCGUGGCGCGGGGGGGGCGGCCGGGCCGGCCCGUGAGGGGCUGCGAGGGGCCGGGCCGGGGGCGGCAACCCCGGACCCGCCGCGGAGUCCCCGGGGCGGGCGGAGCGGGCCGGGGUCGGGGGGCCGUGCCGGUCACCCCGCGCCAUCCCCCGGGCACGGACACGGACACCUCCCGCCGCGCAGGGAUGCGCCCAGCCCGCUCUGACCUGGGGUCUUCCAGAACCUUCCCCCGUCCCCGGGGCGCCUCAGCGCGCACCCGGUCGCGUCCGUUGGGCGGAGGUGCCUGAGCCUGUGGGAUCACAGAGGAUCCCGAGUUGGGAAGGACCCGCGGGGAUCGUCGGGUCCGGCUCCUGGUCCUGCACGGGACACCCCAAAGUCUUCCCCUGUCCAAACCCUCCUGGAGCUCUGGCAGCCUCGGGGCCGUGCCCACCGCCCUGGGGAGCCUGGGCAGUGCCCACCACCGCCCGGCGCUCCGGUGGGUGCCGGACCCGAGGUUGGCCUUGGUGCCGGGUCCUCCCGACCAGGGAGGUUCUGGACAAACCCUUCCCAGCUGGGCACACACCCUUGGCAUUGUCCUCAGACCCCAAGGUCAGUGACAGAUCCCCUCUGUCAGCAGCACGUCCGACACCAGUGUACAACUGGGGCUGUGCUGGAAGGUGCCCCCACCAAAGGAGGGGUUUGGGGGCUCUGAGGGUGCAUCAGGCUUGUUUCGACACUUUUUCUCUCACCUGCAGCAGAGAUUUGUCCCUCCAGAGGUAUUCCCUGCCCUCGCAGAGCUACCGUGUGCCCAGGAGAGACAAGUUUCUGCCCAAGGUGUUGAAGCCCUCAUUGCUUGGAAGUCCUCAGAAAAGAGGGAUGAGAGAGCAGAGCCACCACGCUGUGGCCAAGGGGAAGCAGAGAAGGCAGCAGAACUCAACAUUAAAAAACUUUAAUGAACUCCCUGUGAAAUCCCAGCCCAUCCAGGGAGGCCUCACACCUCACCUGGGAACCCCACCCGUGCCCUUCCCAUACCCAGGGUCGCUUGUUUUCGCUCUGCCUGCCCGGGAGUGGUACCACAGUCCCCGAAACAAAUCCCCAGGGCAGGUUUUGCAAGCGGAAAACUUCUCCCAGCCCUUUCCAUGGUGACUGGCAGCACAGCCAGCCCUGGCACCGCUGUGGGCCUUCCUCCCCUCGAGCAGCUGUGAGUUUGCAGUAGUUCCCAACACAUCCUGUGCCUUACAGGCACGACAAGGCCUGUGGGAGUCCUGGGAGCUGCUUUGGGUUCUGCUACAAGAUAAAUUACCUGUGCGGAAGCGUUUCCACGUAUUCCCAAACUUCCCCCCCCCCUCCCCGUGUUCAGGCACUAAUUGCCAGGCAGCUGACAGGGAUAAUUUACUGCCUCUUGGUGCUCACCACGGCACGAACCCUCCCUGGGUUAUUUUGCUUCCCUGGGUUAUUUUGCUUCCUUUUUUUAAAUCCAGUGUCUGGCCUGAGCUUCUUCCUCGUUCUGAACAGGGGCCUGGAGAGCUCCUGGUGAGGAAAUGCAGGUGGGGGUUCCCAGUGGAGGUGGGAAUGCCCAGGUAUCCCAGCCAUUCCCACCUUACAGGUGCACCUUGCCACACCUGAGCCACGCUGUUCUCUGUGUCACAUUUGGAGCUGUGUCCUGGGCCAGGGGCAGAAAGGAGUGGGGAGAGCUCCAACUUCCACUUCUACCAGUGUUCUACCUCCUUAAAACACUCCUCUGCCACAAGAAAAGGAAACACAUCCAAUCCCUGUUCCUGAAGUCCUCUCUCGCACAGAACUUUAUGCAAAUCCCUCAGUCUAUUUAUUGAAAUCUCCAGUGCUGCUUUCAAAAGCCAGUAUUUGAUUCUCAGUUGGAUGUACAUUUAUAUUCCCUGUUCAGACUCACUUCUGACCCCAUUCCACGUGCAAGCCCCAUAAAUACACAUCUGCCAACAAACCCCCACUUUUUGGGAAUCCCACCCACAGCUUUACUUCAACACCGUGUCUCAAGACCCCAAAAACAUAAGGCUGAGCCUGAGUCUCCCUUAUAGCUAUGAUGGGAUUUGCUCACUCAGGUACAAACACUUGUUCCUGGUUUAGUAGGUUUAUUUAUACAUUAAUACAUAUAUUAAUGGACACAGCCCUUGAGGACCCUCAGCAGGUAUAAGCUCCCUGGAAUCUCACAAGUUUCUUUUCCCUCAAAAAAACCACCCCCUAACCACAAGCAUCCAAAGACUGUAGGAAACCCUCAUUUAAUAUUUAAAUGUCAAGGGUUAGAGAGGAAGGUCUGAACAACAUGUAGUGGCCAUGCCCUGAAUGCUCAGUAGGGAGAUGUAAACUCCCCUAAUACAGAUUUAUUUCCUUUAUUAAGUAACAAGUGUACACUUUUGACUUGCAAGGCUCAUGCCAUGACUUUUUCACGCUGGAAUUUGGGAAAAGAGUCCUCUCUGCAUCUCAGUGUCUUUCCCGUCCAUCCCUGUGCCAGAGAGCAGCACAGAGAGUGUGGAUGGAUAAUGUCACCCUUUCUAAUAAAGCAUGAGAUUAAAAUAUGUCCUCAUGCAUCCAAUUUGCAUAUGGAAAUACAGAAUCUAUUCUUUGAUAAAGCUGCUGGAAAUGUUUUAUGGUUGGAGCUGAGGGGGGUCGGGCUCUGCUGCCAGGGAACAAGGGACAGGAGGAGAGGGAACGGCCUCCAGCUGUGCCAGGGGAGGCUCAGGUUGGACAGGAGGAGGAAUUUCCUGCUGGAAAGGGUGGUCAGGCACUGGCAGGGGCUGCCCAGGGAGGUUUGGAGUGCCCAGCCCUGGAGGUGUCCCAGGAAGGCCUGGCCGUGGCACUCAGUGCUCUGGGCUGGGGGACAAGGUGGGCAUCGGGCACAGGGGGAUCCAUGGGCUGGGAGGGCUUUUCCAACCUCAGGGAUCCUGGGAUUCUAUAAAAACAUGUGAUGCAAUAUCUCAGAGACUCCUGACAAAGAAGCUGGCCCAGCACAGCAGGGUAAAGGGGGAAAAGGAGGGAAGAAAGACACUUUUAAACCCUCAAAAUGCCCAAUAACAGCCUCUCUAACCACAACUCCUUCGGGCUCCUUUUGCAGCAGGUCCUGUGUGGGCCACAGAAAAGCCAGUUCUCUCCUCUUACUAAAAACUUUACUUUCUACCUACACUAUGUUGCUCAACAUCAAAAUAAAAUCAAAAUUUAUCACA